ensembl:misc_RNA
CUGAUGGCACUGGAGACUGAAACCCUCUAUCCACCACCAAGUGCAAUGUAAGGAAUGUCAGUUCAAGCUUCCCACAUAGCCCUGCCAAUGUGCCUCAACUCUGACCUGAAGGGGCCACUUUUAGGGGGAGAGGGUGGUUUAGUGUUCAUGCCCAUUUGAUCUUUGGCAUCU